rnacentral:rRNA from 1 species
UAAUAGCUCACUGGUCGAGUGAUCCUGCGCCGAAGAUUUCCGGGGCUAAAACUUACUACCGAAGCUACGGCAUCAGUAAUGAUGGGUAGGGGAGCUUCCCAUGCGGGUUGAAGCAUGACCGUAAGGACAUGUGGACAGUAUGGGAGUGAGAAUGUUGGCAUGAGUAGCGAGAUGUGGGUGAGAAUCCCACAGGCCGCAAACCCAAGGUUUCCAGGGGAAGGUUCGUCCGCCCUGGGUUAGUCGGGACCUAAGCUGAGGCCGAAAGGCGUAGGUGAUGGACAACAGGUUGAUAUUCCUGU